UACGUAGGGUGCGAGCGUUGCCCGGAUUUAUUGGGCGUAAAGGGCGCGUAGGCGGCUCGGCACGUCCGUUGUGAAAUCGCCCGGCUCAACUGGGCGGGGUCAGCGGAUACGGUCGAGCUUGAGCAAGCUAGGGGGCAAUGGAAUUCCCGGUGUAGUGGUGGAAUGCGUAGAUAUCGGGAGGAACACCAGUGGCGAAAGCGGUUGCCUGGGGCUUUGCUGACGCUGAUGCGCGGAAAGCGUGGGGAGCGAUCCGG
rnacentral:rRNA from 1 species